UCUGCCUCCACUGCUCCGACGUUGAAAGGUCCCGUCCCCCACUUUUUCCCACCCCCUCUCCUUCCGGGGUUAAAAGCCCAAGAAAGGGCGAUGGCGGCACUUUGGCCCAGCGGCCCCGGUUGGGGGGGGGUACUGCUCCAAUAGCUCCGCGCGGAGGGUAGAGCCGGUUGAGGCGCACCUCCCUCUCUGAAUCUCUCUGAAUCCUCCCCGGAGCCUUCUGCUGCGCUUGCUGAGAGGCCUCGCUCGCUGGAUCCCUUCCUUCCCUUCUUGUGCAACCUCUUCCCGGCCCGCUUCCCUUCCUGGGCUCCGCAGCCAAAGUGCCUUCGCCAUGGCCACGUAUUUGGGAAGCAGUGCCAUGCAGACGGAGGACGAGGAGCAAUGGCUCUACUACGGAGGCAGGCAGGCUGGGUACUCCAGAGCGUCUCAAGCAAUGGUGACAACAACAACAAACAACAACAACAACAACAACAACAAUAAAGGUCUCGUUCUCUGAGGAGCUGCUUGCACAUUUGUUACAGGGCGAUCCUGGAAGUAAGCCCGGCUGAGUUCAGUGGGACUUAGAUUCCCAGGCGGCAUCGGUAAUCAAGAAGAUGGACCUAUUCCUCGGGACACAGGACCUCAUCCUUUAAAAGGCAUUCCCAAGGAGAAAAAGACUGUCAGUGAUGAAGAACGAAAAUUGUUACAGCAAGUAAGCAGUACAGUAUAAUCAAUCUGAGAUCUCUACCCUAGUGCUCCUCUGAUGUUUAGAUCUCCCAACUCCCAUCAGCCCCAGCCAGCAACAUACAGGUGUGCUAGUCAGGGCUGAUGGGACUUGGAGUCCGAAACAUCUGGAAGGCACCAGGUUGGAGAUGGCUGGCUUAGAAGAAUGGUUUAGCUCUUUGCCAAACUUAACAGAAGAAGAGGAGACCCAGAAUGGUUGGGAAGCAGUGGUGGAGGAAGCCCCUUGGGCACCCAGAGCGCAUAGCUGCCAAGUUAUCCCUUUUUUAAAGGGAUUUUGCCUUAUGCUGAAUAGGCUUCCUCGCGAGAAAAGGGAAAACUUGGCAGCUAUGCCAGAGCGGCACCCGGGGUGUGCACCAUAAAUUACCAGUAAGAAAGGGGUUAAGGAUCACAAACUUCUUAAUUGCUAGAGAAGACUCAGAUUGCUCAUGACCCCUCACCAUCGGGGAGGGAGGAUGCAAGGGUUAUUUCCUGUUCUUCUCUCUGUGUGUCUUCUCUUUGAACCAUGUAACUGAGCAGACAUCUGAGACCGAGGCUCCAGAAUCAGACUGUGUGUUUGAAGUCAACUUCUGUAUUUUGUAACCAAGAAUACAUUACCUGUGUUGUUUCUGCUGUAACAUUGAACGAUGCAUGAGUGAGACCUCUGAUUAAACGUAAAGGUAAAGGGACCCCUGACCAUUAGGUCCAGUUGUGACCGACUCUGGGGUUGCAGCGCUCAUCUCGUGUUAUUGGUUGAGGGAGCCGGCGUACAGCUUCCAGGUCAUGUGGCCAGCAGGACAAAGCUGCUUCUGGUGAACCAGAGCAGCACACAAAAAUGCCAUUUACCUUCCCGCUUGGAGCGGUACGUAUUUAUCUACUUGCACUUUGACAUGCUUUCGAACUGCUAGGUUGGCAGGAGCAGGGACUGAGCAACGGGAGCUCACCCGUUAUGGGAAUUCGAACCGCCAACCUGCUGAUCGGCAAGCCCUAGGCUCUGUGGUUUAACCCACAGUGCCACCCGUGUCCCAAGACCUCUGAUUACUGAAGCUAAGUGGGACCAUCGAUGUGAUAGGUGGAGAGCCAGGCACUAUUAGGAGAGUGGAAGGAAGGUGCCGUGAUAAGAAUGGCCCAGAGUAAAACUUAAUUCAGGUAAGAAAUAUGUCCAGACUCCAUGAACUUUGCUUUCUUAUCUAACUCACUUUUGAGUACAAGCGGAUUAGUUUGUUUAUAUAUUUAUUGCAUUUAUAUCCCACCUUUUUCUCCAAGGUGGUGUGUUCUUCCUCAUUUAAUCCCCACAAUGGCUCUGUGAGGUAGGUGGGGCUGAGAGGCAGUGACUGGCCCCCACGAUCAUCUAGUGAAAGCUUCGUGGCCAAGUGGGAGGCUUUGAACCCUGGUCUCUCCCAGGUCCUAGUCCAACCACUCCACCACACUACUUCUCAAAUUUAUAUCACACCCUUUGUCUAAAGGAGCCUCCUUCAAGGCUGAUUGCAUACCCUUUUUUAUUACCGUAUUUUCCCAUGUAUAAGGUUAGGUUUCCCCCCUAAAAAAUAAUGUCAAAAAUUAGGGGGCAUAUUAUACAUGGGCCAUCUCCUCCCAUGUUCUUAUAUCUGAGUCUCUCCAAAUACAUGGGGGUGUCUUAUGGACGGGAUAAUAUGGUAAAUUCAGUCCACAUGCUCAAAAGCAAAGUAAGGAGAGGUUCAGAAUUCCAGGAUCCUUUCUUUAAAGAUUUAUAAAGAUUUAUAAAGCUUUAAAGAUUAUAAAGCUUCUGAUCAUCUCAGGAUUAUACCACUUCAAUCUCGCCUUGUUCUGCAGCAUGUACAGAGCUAUGCCCAAUUGUUAUUUGGUGGUGUAGAUACUUACAGUGCUUUCUGUUCUAUUCUUCACAUUAGCUACAGUGGGACUAAGGAAUACGUGGCCCUCCAUAGGUUACAAUUCCCAUCACUCCUGACUGCUGGUGGCAUUUGCUGGGGUUGAUGGGAGUUGAUGGGUCCAACAACAGGGCCACAGGUUCUCCACCCCUGCUCUAAACCAUAUUUGUAAACCUGCUUGAAAGUAUUCUGUUAUUGACUAGGUAUGCCACCCCCAGCUCCUGUUCCAGGCAAGUACUUCUGUUUAAGCAUAAGGGUAGCAAAUGCAAUCUGGCCUACUAGAGAAUGGAGCACUUCAAAUUAAAGCCUUUGAAUAGAAAUCUGGGUAGCAUUUAAUUGGAUGAACACAUGUAGCUAAUCACCAGUUGGAGGCCAAUCAAACAUGGUCUUGUCCACAUGUUGCUUGACUAAGUCUUCUGUCAUCUCUGACCAUUAGCCAUUCUAGGUCGGGAUGAUAGGAGCUGGAAUCAUGAAACAUCUAGAGGGGACUGUCCUGUAACCGUUAUACAUCAGAGAAGUUAUAGAUUUCAUUGGGCACCAACCUAUGAAAUUUUUAACUUCUCUGAAGUGUAAUGGUUAUGGGGUGGGGAAACACAUUAAAGAAUAAUGGAAUAGGCAAGGCUGAGGUCUGAAAGUGUCUGUUCUAAGUUCCUGAGACAGAAGUAGAUGUGGUAGACACCUGGAAGGAAAGCUACCUGGCAACUCCAGGUGGGAUAACCAACACCCCAGGUGUGCAGAAUUGCACAUUAUGGGUAGGACACGAGUCCGUUGUUGAGUCCAGUCUCUCUCCCUUCACUAAUAUGUAGUGAAUAUAUGCUGAUAUUAUCACAUUGUGUGUUCCCUGCCUUGCAUUAUUGACAGCAGCUGGUUGGGGUGCAGGGAGAUGAAACAUGAAGAAGUUCAGAGACAGGUGUGUGCUUUGUGACACAUUACUGUAGGAUGCAGGGUGGGGGGACUGGAGAUGGUACCAGGGUUUUAAUUGGCAUUGUGAAGUUCUAGGAAGAGCCUGCUGGAUCAGACCAGUAGCCCAUCUUGUCUGGCAUCCUGUUCUCACAGUGGAAACACAAGAAAAUCACAAGCAGGAUCUGAGCACAAGAGGGAGCUCAAGGGACAUGCUCUGUCCCCAUCCUGUGGCCAAAGAAACAACACCAUCUGCUUCUGAAGCAAAAACACCAGUGAGAAAAGAGAAGGCUUUGGUGGUAGUUGAAGGGUCUUCCUUUAGAGGCAGCAAGUGAUCUCAUUGAAAGUGCUGCUGCUUCUUCAUCUGAGAAAUGAGGCCAGGGUGGCCUCCACUUUGGUAUGAUGUUCUGCCAUGCAUUGUAGCAGCGUUUGCAAGGGAGCUGGGAGCUUCCCUUCCUCUUCUCCACACAUUUAAACUAGUAUGACUUUGUCUACCGGUCUGUUUCCUCCACCUCAUGUUUCACCGCCACCCCUUUCAAUUCCAACAUGUGAUGGGUAAGUGAGAAUUAAAUGGGUUUAACUCACUAACACUCUAUUUGUUGCAUUUAUAUCCUACCUUUUUUUAGCUCAAGGUGGCACACGUGGAUCUCCCCUUCCUCAGUUAAUCCCCACAACAACCCUGUGAGGUAUGUUAGGCUGAGAGACCAGUGACUGUCCGAGGGUCACCAACUGAGCUUCGCAGCUGAGUGGGGAGUUGAACACUGGUCUCCCAGUUUCUACCUCCAGCUACUGCUGAGCAGUGGCAUACAGACUGCCAGUUCGUGAGUUGCUAAGAGCAGAACCCUUGGGAUGAUUUGUGGCUCUUUCCAAUGGUGUGUAGAGAAUGUGGUGAUGCCCUUGAAACAGCAGAAAAAUACAGCAGCCACAAUGUUUCAUGGUGAGCACUUUCCCAGCCACAUUACACUAGUCUUAUAUCAAUUUCGUUGGGUUCUGGUUCUCUCUUUGUCCCACUCUGCUUUCCUGGUCCCAGUUCUAGAUGCUGGUUGUUACCUGUCCAGGAAUAUCUGAAACACAGCCUCAUCUCACUAUAGGUUACUGUCAUCUUGUGAUGUCCUGAUUUGUGUCCCAUCAGCCAAAGAGAUUAGUUUGGUAGGAAGGCAGAUUGGGCCUUUUCUGUGGCAGCCCCCCUCCCAAAAGAUAUGGAAUCCCCUUCCACAAUAAGUUAGACUGGCCUGCCCCUAACAGCUUUUAGGCAAGCAUUCCCCCCCCCUGAAUUUUGCUGGUGUUUAAUUAUGAGAUUUAAGGAUUUAGCUUUUCUGUUUUCCUGGGUUUUAGAUAUUUGGAUUUUAUUUUGUGUAUACUGGUUUCAUUGGUUUUAAUGCACUGCCAAUGGCCUUUGGGGGGAAGGUUUUUCAUGAGCAAAAAUGUUUGUACAAAGAAAAGAUGGGGAGCUUUGAUUAAGAACUUUUACACAUUCCCCACAUUGUCAAUUUAUGGAGCUCAUUGUGGCAAAAUGUGGAGAUGGCUUUACAAUGGGAUUAUAUCUUCCCCACCCUGGUGCAACCUUCAGAUGUAUUAGUCUAAAUUCCCAUCUGCAUCAGUCAGCAUAGUAAUGGCCACAGAUGCUGAGAGUCCAAAACAUUUGGAGGGGUGUCAGGUUGGGAAAGGCUGGAUUAGACAAAUUUACAGGGAACUUUACAGAUUUCAGUGGGCAUCAGCCAUGAUAAUCAAAUGGACGUCCAUAUUUAUGGAGGCAGAAUGUCACUUGGGGAGGAGGGAACUGCAGGAGAGGGUGAUAGCAUGCCUGGCUUGUAGGGUUCCCAGAGGCAUCUUGGUGUUCAAAGUGGAAAGCUGUAUGCUGGGCUAGGUGGUCUCAUCCAGCAGGGCUCUUCAGUAUACUUGUGUCUAGCUCUCUGCAUACUCAACACUCCUCGGUUGUGCUCCUAGUGGAUAGACAAGAAAGCUGUGGUAGCUAGGAGAGAUGGCAUGGCAGGACUAGGAAAGAAUCAGCACCUUUGAUGAAGCUUAUGGUCAACAAGAGAGAAACUCUUUAAGGGAGUUGGGACAAUGAUGCUGUGUUUUAUAGCAGCUGAUUUUAAUUUUUCUCCUUCUGAAUGGGUGACAGGGGAGCUAGAUAUUACUAACCAGUUGUUGUUGUGCUCUCCCUCUCUCUCCUUCUUUCCCUCUCUCAAAGCCAGUCUGCCAGCUACAACAACAGUCAACCACCUCCAUUUGGCUACAACUCCACAGGCAGGAGUGUGGGGCAAACAGCACCAGGAGUGCGGCAAAGCAGCGGCCGCCCCGUGUGUAGUUCCCCGUCGUCUCCCCCAAGGCCAGGAAGGGAGAGAGUGAGGAAGGGGAAAGGCUGCCAGCAACGCAGUGUGGCUUCCCCCCCCCCCCCCGGUAUGCAGCCAGAAGCAGCGAGGAAUGGAGCGGCUUAUUUUGGGUAAGCAGCAUGAGAGCAAAGAAGGUGAAAGCCAUAGGCGUCACAAGCACAAAAAGAACAAGCACAACAAGAAAGAGAAGGCAUGAGGUAGGUGUACCGGAGAGAAAUGGACAGGAUUCCAUGAAGGAGCAAAUCUGUGGUCCAAAAACAAUAGUGACACUUUUACAGCCAGAUUGUCUGUAGCAACCUUUUUCUCUCUGAGAAAUUAAAUGGCUGAAAUGAUUAGCAACCAAACAUGGGCACAAGCUUCCUCUUUGUGAAAGAAGACAACAUUCAAAGGAUUUUUGGAGAGAGAAAACUGGCAGCAAAAAAAGCAGUUAUUUACCUACAUGUGAGAUCCCAUAGCUUCUUAUAGGAGAUAGCUUCCGUGCAAACUAAUGCAUUUAGAAUAUAGGACAAUACUUGGCAAAUCAUUGACUUCUUUUAUUUUUUAGAACAGUAACAGCCACAUGAAGCUUUGUCCAAAAAAGUAAAGUAUUAUGACUAAAUUAACAUAAUAAGCUAGCUGACAGCUAGCUUAGAGUCUGGCUUCUAAAAGCUAGAAGCUAGUUGUAGGGAUGCUGCAUGCUAGGAGAGCCAAUAUGAUCAGAAUAAUCACAUCAAAACAGCUUCAAUAACUUCAGAAUAAUUUAUAAAUGCAUCAAAAUAAUAACAGAGUUGUUAACAAUGUACCAUAAUCUCUUUGGUGCAAAACAUUGUAGAUUUACUGGUGAUUGUUAAAGGCACCUUGAAAUAAGACAACAUAGUGAAAUAGUGCUGCUGAGGCAGCCCAUACCCUUCAUUUGGAAAAAGCAUACAUUUUCCUCUCUACAGUCAUCGCAAGAGGCAAAUAUUACUCCAGGCUUCCACCUUGGGUCUUGUGAAUUCUGUAAUCACCCCUUGCAAGGAGAUGUAAAUGGUGAUUCCUUUUAAAACCACAUUUACAUGAAAGCAUUAACACUCAGUAUUGAUGCUGUGACUUGCAGGGACACCUCACCCACAUGAAAACCACAUGCCCCGUUAGAUCAAUGUCCUCUCACACGUGGCAAUAGCAACAGCUUGCAACACCCAAAUCAGGCAGUGAAGACAUUUAAAUUAGAGAUGGCAAUUUGAAUCAUUCCUCGGAUCCUUUUGGAUUUUUAAAACAUGUAGAUUUGAUGGACUGCUCCUGAAAGUUGACCACUGAACUCAUAUUUCACACAUAGCUGUUAGUCUGAUUUCAACCUGCAUUUUAUACAAGUUACAUAGAGUACUAGUAUACAGAAAUGCUGGACCAAAAGUUAUUUUAAGCAUUAUACUUGCCCUAUAGUAUGCAGGUAAAGCAAGCAGUUUUCACAAGGGCGGAGACUCACAUUAAGCAAACCACAAUCUUAGAACAACAAAGGAGCAUCCCACACUGCCAUCCUUAUAGAAUUUUCCUCAAACUUACCGUCUCUAGUCUACAAUCAAGCUAGUAGAAUCAAGAAAUAGAUACUGCAAAUGAGCCUACACUUGGAGACCAGCUUGGAACUGUGGUUGCCUAGGGAAGAAGAGUGUAUCUUUUUUACUAAGAUUGAAAUCCACAGUCCUGUCAACAUUAGGGGUUCCAUUCCCACCCACCCCGCAAGGUGUACUUGGUAACUGCGUAGUUGAAUUUUACCUGCAGGUGCCACACUUCUGUAUCAACUGUCUGGCCCAGCAAUUUCUACAUGCCAUCCAACUAUUAACAGCA